UGGGGAAAGCGAUCUCCCCACGAGGCGACAUGCCGAAGCAGUCGC
rnacentral:ncRNA from 1 species